GUUGAGGGCGGCCCAGAGCGGGGAGCUCCUGACCGGGUGUGUUAAUGUUACAGGACUUUGUCCCCUUAGUGUCCGUGGUUCUUGGCCGCUCUCGUUGAAGAACGAGGAGCUGGGCCAGACAAGGGGUGGCAAAGCGAAGUGUAUCGACACCGUGUGAAGCGCCUGGAGAAACAGGGGACCCGAGAGCGUUGCCAUUUUGGUCCUCAAAUAUAGGGACUUUUAUUUUUUAUUUAUUUCUUUCAAAGAUCUCCUUCGUGUGUUUGAGGGAGAGCACGAGCAGGGGACGAGCGGAGGGAGAAACAGACGCCCCACCGGGCAGGGAGCCCGGCUUUAUCCCACGAUCCCUGCAGACCCCGGGAUCACCACCCCGGCUGAAGGCAGAUGCUUCCCAGACUGAGGCACCCAGGUGCCCUUAGGGGUUUCUAUAAGCACUUUUGAGGAACGGUCUUGAGCAUCCUGAGAGGGGGCCCCCCCGAGGACUGGCUACUAAGGUGUGCCAAUCAGGGCUUGAAUCAGGUCCCCGAGUGCCUGUGGAGUUAUUGCUCACAUGUUGCUGGUCUCGUGGGCUGACCUCUGGGGACCAACUGGACAGUGAAUGACGUUCCACGGUUACUGGUUUUGUUUGGGAUGUGUUGCAAAUGUCAGUCCCGCCAGACAGGAAGCUGUCGUGGUCUCGUCGAAGUGGUGCCCGCCCGGUUUUGUCUCGGCUGUCCCGACACUCUGUUUCCUUGCUGGGGACACUGGCCCUGAAGACCUGCGUGUCCCAUGACCCCCUGGUAUUAACAUACCUCGCCCGCAUCAGAAGCGGAACAGAGCGAAGCAAAGGCUGUGUGUGACAAGCCACCAGGGUCAGCUGGUGGUUCUGUGGCCCGCCAGUGACUUUCCUGUGUCUGAGUGAGCAUGUGGCCUGUGUUCCUGGAGAUGCGGACACGCUGUGACGUCACUGAUUAACCCGGCUGAUGGCGUGGGCCCCUCUCCACGGACGGGAGGCUUCCUCCGCUUCCCGGGUCCCCGUGGGCCUGGGCUGUGUGCCUGCUGCUAGGGACGCAGCAGUGACAGGGGCCAGAGCUCCUUGCCCUCAGGAGCUCACCUUCUGGGUGGAGGUUGCCCUGGAUUGUGUGUCCUCAGAUUCACGCGUGGAGGCUCUCACACCCACUGUGACUGCAGCGGGAGACGGGGAUUCUCGGAGGUAGUUAGGGCUGCAUGACAGCGACUUGAUCUCAGCUCAGGUCUUGAUCUUGGGUUUUGGGUUCAAGACCUGCCCUGGGCUGCAGGCUGGGCAAGGAGAUGGCUUCAAAACAAAACAAAGAGGAAGGGACAUGUGAGCUCCCCCGCCCAACAGUGUGUGUGCAGAGGGAGGACACGGCACGGCGGCAGCGUCUGCGGUCCAAGGAGAGAGGCCUCGGCCAAGGCCCUCGGCCUUGCUGGCCCCGUGAUCUUGGACUUCCUGUGUCCAGAACCUGGAGAAAUCGAUGUGUGCUGUUUAAGCAGCCCAGCCUAAGGCGUGUGGUCACGAGGCCCAGACAAUGUAGGAGUGGCAGACGCGGCUCGACUUGCUGCUGGAAAGGUGCCGCGGCUACCGCCAGGCAGUGGAGAGAGAGAGGGCUGAGGGUGUGGGUGCCUGGGGAGGGGCGGGUGAGGAAGGGCCCGGCUGUCCGGGGGAGGCGCGGCUGCCUCCAGGCUCCUGGUUUUGGGAGAGAGGGGAGGGUCUUCCUAUUGGGGGGCACGGAGGUGCGGGGGGAUGGGGGUCAGAAACGGAUACCCCAGUCUGGAGCUUCGGGCAGACCGUCCCCUCAGUUCUGCUCCCAGGAGCCGGCCCCUCAACGUCUGGGAAGUCCCCAGGCUCCCUGCACACCCUCUGGCCCUCCUCUGACCCCUGAACCCUGCAUCCUUCCCCUCUGUCGCAGGCAUGAGGCCAUGCUGUGGGGUCUGCGCCGUCCACCCUCCUCUCCACAUGAUGCUGGAGCUGCCUCCUGUAGGCUUUCCGCCUCUGGGUGUCUCCGGUGUUCCCCCCCCCCCGCACCCUCCCCACCCUGCUCCCUGCCUUUCAGGGCUUCCACCUGGCCCAACCCGGGAGCUAGCCCAUCGGCCUCCUGUCCACUCUGUCUGCCCCCCACGAGCCUGAAGACUGCAUGGUGGCCCUGUGGGAGGGGGCCCUGGCCAGUCCUGCGCUGUGUGAGCCCCCCCACCCCCCACACCCCGCCUUACCAAGAAUGGACCCCAGGCACUUCCCAGCCAUGUUACACAACUGUCUUCUUUCUCAGAGAUGUCCUGUCCCCCAUCCCCAGGGCCGCAUCGUUCCUCUGCCCCUCACUAAGCAGGUGCUCACCACGCCACGUGACUUAUCUCUGGCUUAUAGAUGGGGCUCCCUGCUCAGACCCGGAGCCCCGGGAGGGGAGGACCCAGCCGCUUUGCCUCUGAACUGCACCGGGUCCAGCCCGGAGCUCACACAGACCGGGGGGCACUGAGGGGGGCACUGAGGGUAGCCUGAACGCAGAGGGGAGGAGGAAGCACCGCUGUGGCCGGGUCUCAGGACGCCCCCGCUCCUGCUCCGAGGUCCGGCUCAAGCCUUCACCGUUUCUCUCCUACCCCUCCAAGACCCCGCAAAUCUGCCUCAAGAAGAAAGGGGAAAUGUGGCCGGGGGAUUCCCAGGGUUGCCGUGCACCGUCUUGACCGGGAGGUCACAGGGAGGCAGUGGGACGGGCGGCCAGGCCCUCCCUGUAGUCUGAGGGUGAGACACCCAGCUCGAGCCGCAUGGGUGUCUGGGCACAAAUCGGGCUGAGUCGGGACCGGGGGGGCCGUCCCGGGGCCCAGGUCACAGGGGCGAUGGGAGGAGAGGCCCCAGGCUGGGGCUCACAUCACCCACCAGGGAAGAUGGGGUGCGGGACCCCCAGGGAGUCUCAGACAUGCUGAUUCCGGGGGCACAGCACUGAGCAAGGGAGGGCCUAGCAGGUGACAGCCCGCAAGGGGCACCCAGUGGAGGGGGAGGGCCCUGCCGCCAACCUCCUCCUCCUGCCUCACUCCCCAGUGAUGAUUCAGGUGCUCCUGCCCUAUCACGUCCCCUGCUGCCCAGGAUCUCCUCCCGAGGGUCCCUUGCUCAUGGAAUUAGGGAGUAACUGUGAGGGGCAUGUGGGCCAGUCCCAGCCGGUGGGACCCUCAGCCGCCUCCGUGAGGAGGAACAUGGCCGGGCUGGGAGGUCAAAUCGGUGCGGCAGGACGCAGCGAGUGCCCGCACCCCAACAGCCUGCCUUGGGCCCCUAGUGUGCUCUGAGACACCCGGGAGCUGCUGGGGUUCCUAGAACAUUCUAGGUCACCUCCCAAUGCACGUGAGGGCUGAGUGCAGGGCGCGGAGAGGGUGCCCCUUCACCUUUACUGGAAGCCCCUGUAGGCCAGAGGGUAUGCGUGUACACGUAAAGAGCGGGGCGUGGGCACCUCUAACGGGCUUCUGGUGUGGGGACAGAGCCGGAUCUGGUGGGGGUCUUAUGCGGGCUCCCAAGCCUCUGGGUCCUCUUGACGCCAUCCUGCCUCGGGGACCUUGUGUCCAUGGGGAUGGGCUGGUGGUCCUGGGGGAUGGUGGUCACCCUGGGCCGGCUGGAGCGGCGGGCAGGCGUCCAGCCCCCGUCUCCCACGGGCAGCGUUCGUGUCCGGUACUAAGGCAGGGGGAGCAGAGAGACGAAGCCGACCACCGGGGAAGGAAGAAUCCGGGGCGGCCCACGGCUCCAGAGCCCGGGAGUGCAGCCCCCAGAGGCCAGGGAAGGUGCUGUGAGGAGGGGGCUGCCGGCCCUGGGGAGCGGGGACCCCACAACGGAGGCAGCCAGUUUCUGGGACAGCCCUAUAAGGAGGAGCGUGAGGUCAGCGACUCCUGUCCGCGUCGGUUGCUUCUCUCUCUAGGGCUGCUGGCACUGGAGCUUCAAGGGGGCUGCAGGCAGGGGAGGAGGAGACGGGGUUGCCACCCCAGGCCCGGACCCCCGAGCAGGGACAGGGCUGGGCAGCUGAGGGACAGCGACAGAGCAGCAGCCCACGGGCGUCCUCGGAGACGGACUUUACCAAGGUUACUGGAGGCCUGGGCGUGGGCCUGGGGCUUUUACUGAGUGGUGAGCAGGAGAACGCAGCCCCUGCCCCUGGGGUCCCCGCAGCCACCCCCGGAGUCCCAGCCUCUCUGAGUGGGUGGGCCUGAGCACGCCCAUUGCAGAGGUGGGGUCUCACCCACAGGCCGGGUCCCAGGUCAGAGUCCCACAGAAGCGCGUCCCCCUGCACGCGUCGCUCCGGGUCGCUGCUCACUGUUUCGGAAGGACCUGAGGUGCUCACGGGACUCCUCCCUCCCAGUGGGCAUGGGGUCCCCCUUGGCUUGCUGGGCAACAGCCCACGCGCCCGAGAGCACGAGGCAUGUCCCUGGCCUCUUGGAGCAAAGAGGGGCAGGUCCAGACCAUCUCCAAGGUCGCCCUGCCCAACUAGUUCAACCCAGUACCCCCAGAGCGGACGGCUUGACGGUCCUGCAGACCCCCUGCCCCCGGCCUCGCUCGUCCCCGGCCAUCCGGCAGAGGGAGGGUCCCCACGAAGGGUCCCGGCAGGACCCGCAGGGGACGUUGGCCAGCGGGCCGCUCGCAGGACACGAAGCUGCCCCGAGAGUGCUGGUCGGCUGGAUGGGCGAGCGAGGGGGGAAUCGGGCGCAUCUCAGGCCGGGCAGCGUCCCCUGUAAAGUCAGACUCGGGAAUGGGGCCACAAACCCCCCCUUGGACGUGGUCUGUUCAGCGAUCUGUCAAGUGACAUCCAGUGACCGUGUGGAAAUGAGAAGGCAGAGUGCAGCCGUUCUGUGUGUCCUGGUGACAACAAGGGGUGACGGUCCAGGGUGGGGCCUCCCUCUGACAGGCACGAAGGCUGUCCUCCUCAGUGUCCCCAGGACCUGGGAUUAGGUAGUGACCCCAGGGCCCGUGGUGCCAAGGUCAGGACAAGGAAGGGGCUCAAGGUCCGUCCACGCUGGGCCACCAGCAGUCAGCUACUGAAGGGGUGGUUCCUGGUCCUGGUGAGGGCUCGACCUCAGGAUCUGAUGGGGACCUGCCCGGGGCCCAUGGAACUGGACACCCACAGCCGGGUCGGGAUGGGUCUGCUGGGAGGGAAGCCGCCGCGGGUAAUGGAUUUGCAGCCUCACGGAUGAGGGAAGUCGGAGGGUUUCAUGCCCAUCCCAGGAGCCCCGGGCUGAGCGGGGACGUGAGAGCCAUGGGGCCCCAGGGGGGCUCCUCAGGACACUUGCCAUCUGAGGCAUCAGCAGGGGUGCGCUGCCUCUCGCCAGCCCGCCCCGCCUGCAUCUUGGGGCCCCAGGCACGUGGGGGUCCCCCACCCCUAAGCUGCCCACAAGGUCACCACCUCGGGGGGCCACAGUGCUCUGGGGAAGCCCAGGUGGGGAGAGCGCCUUCUACAUGGGGAGAUUAGGGUUAGGGUCUGAGCAUUGUCUGUACUCCAGAGACCCGGGGACGGGCCAUGUUGCUUUUUUUUUUUUUUUAAUUUAAGGUUUUAUUUCUUUAUUUGACAGACAGAGAUCACAAGUAGGCAGAGAGGCAGGCAGAGAGAGAGGAGGAAGCAGGCUCCCUGUUGAGCAGAGUCCGAUGUGGGGCUCGAUCCCAUGACCCUGAGAUCGUGACCCGAGCCAAAGGCAGAGGCUUAACCCACUGAGCCACCCAGGCGCCCAGCCCUGUUGCUUUCUGAGCCCACUGGCCCACGGCCCAUCUGUGAGAUGGGAGCAGGAAUGAGCCAGCCCAGCCCCAGCCUGGGGACAGGUGGGGUGUGGACAGUGGGUGCAGCUCAGGGAAAGCAAAAUGUCACCCCCACCCUGGGUGGGAGCACUGAAGGUGCUCCCCCUCCCCGCGGCCUCCAGCAGUCUGGGGAGGGACCCCCUGUGCUGAGCUGUGCUCAGGAAUGUGUAGGUGGAAACCAGCCCCUCCAUCCCUGACAGAGGGCACUGCGUGGGAGACGGGGUCCUUUGGGGGGCCGGUCACCCUGCUUCUGUAGACGCUGUGACAGGAGCAGGAAAGCAGGGGGCUCCUCUUGUGGCCUUGGUGCCGGUGCUGGAGGGGAGCAGCCGGGGGCUCCCCGGGUGUCAGGGCAGCCGAGGAGACGCAGACGCACAAUUGGGGGGCCCCCAGCUCUACAGCAAAGUCAGGGGGCCGCUAAGGGACAGGGAGUCCAGGAGAGACUCCUGAGCCAGACCUGGGUGCGGCUCACUGAGUGGGGCAGGAGGAACUGCCACGGCUGUGCUCUGUGGUCCCGCCUGGUGGCCUCCCCCUCCCUUUUCGAGCUCUUCUGCCUUGCGGUCACCUCCUGCCUCCUGCACUGCGGGCCCCGCGCCCCCUUUCUCCCAUGCCUGUGGGCUCCUGUGGGGUCCUGGCCAUAGGCAGCUUGACCCCGACAAAGCCCGGUAUGGACAGACUGAACCGAUUGCAACAGCCGAUGCUCCCUCGCGGGGCCCCAGUUUCUCUUUCCCUUUCAGUUUAGACGAGGCAGGUUCCAGGUUGAGUGUGAGCUGGGCUGCUGGCGGGGGAUGAGGGGUCCUGAGGAGGGACAUGGAGCCUCCUGGAGGCUGGGAGCUGCCCCCCUGCAGCCGGGCACCCAAGCCUGAUGCCCUGAGCCAGGUUAUCGGGUGAAAGAGGCCUGUGGGGAGCUGACUGGCACGGUGUGUGCCCCCUGUGACCUGGGGACCUACACGGCCCACCUCAAUGGCCUGAGCGAGUGCCUACAGUGCCGAGUGUGUGACCCAGCUCCUCCUCGGCCAGCCCCGGCCGCUGCUGCUGCUGUCCCUCAGAGCCCCUUGGGACACACACCCCUGUGUCCAGCACCCGCAGGCCCAGCUUUGGGCUGAGCAGGGCGUGCACCUGGACGGGCCCUCCAGCAGGAGCACAGCGGGACCCAGACACACGCACAGCAGGCGGCAAAGCUGGGCUGAGGGAGCUGGUCACCAACCCCGUCCCCGAUCCCGGACAGGAGCCCAAAGGCCUGCGGCUGCUGUGCAGGCCUCUACUUGGUCUCCUCCCGGGAUGGGGGGCUCAGCACUGCCCACGGCAGCACAUGCAGCUGCUCUCAGCUCCUUCUCUUGGG